GUGGAUUAGAUACCCUGGUAGUCCUAGCGGUAAACGUUGGGCACUAGGUGUUGGUUUCCGACGAGGAGAUCAGUGCCGCAGCGAAAGCAUUAAGUGCCCCACCUGGGGAGUACGGCCGCAAGGUUGAAACUCAAAGGAAUUGACGGGGGCCCGCACAAGCGGUGGAGUAUGUGGUUUAAUUCGACGCAACGCGAAGAACCUUACCUGGGCUUGACAUGCUUAGGACCGGAGUGGAAACAUUCCUUUCCCGCAAGGGACCUUUGCACAGGUGCUGCACGGCUGUCGUCAGCU
rnacentral:rRNA from 1 species